rnacentral:rRNA from 1 species
UGUGGUUAGCGGUGAAAUGCCAAUCGAACUCGGAGAUAGCUGGUUCUCCUCGAAAUAGCUUUAGGGCUAGCGUCAUGUUAGUAAUGUAUGGGGGUAGAGCUCUGUAAAGGAUUGGGGCGGGCAACUGUACCCACCCUUAACAAACUACGAAUACCGUAUAUGUAAUCAUGGCAGUUAGAACAUCGGUGCUAAGAUCGGUGCUCAAAAGGGAAACAGCCCAGACCAUCAUCUAAGGUCCCUAAAUAUACAUUAAGUGGGAAACAAGGUGAAAUUUCUUAAACAGCGAGGAUGUUGGCUUAGAAGCAGCCAUUCAUUUAAAGAGUGCGUAACAGCUCACUCGUCAAGAGAUUUUGCGUGGAAAAUGUAACGGGGCUAAAUGUAUUACCGAAGAUAUGGAUUAUUACAUUAGUAAUAGUGGUAGAGGAGCGUUCCUAUCAGCAGUGAAGCAGUAUUGAAAAGUAUUGUGGAGCGGUAGGAAGUGAGAAUGCUGGAAUGAGUAACCAUAAGAUAGGUGAGAAUCCUGUCGGCCGUAAGAGCAAGGUUUCCUGAGCUAUGGUAAUCAUCUCAGGGUUAGUCGGGCCUAAGCCGAGGCGCAGAGCGUAGGCGAUGGACAUCAGGUUAAUAUUCCUGAACCGGUUAAGUUUUGUACACUGUUCACGGGGAAGUAAUCGAAGCGGAUUCAUGGUUUAUCCGUCCAACCGAGCGGGAACGCAAAGGGAGUGAAAGUGAUUCUUCGGAGUCGCGAUUUUGGUGAAAGCCCUGGCUAGAAAAGCAGGUGUACGCGUGGACUUAGCCGCCCGUACCGCAAACCAACACAGGUGCUCGAGUCGAGUAGACUCAGGCUUACGAGCGAACCUUCGCUAAGGAACUCGGCAAUACAGCGACCGUAACUUCGGGAUAAGGUCUGCCCCCACUUCGGUGGAUAUCAGCCGCGUUCACUCAGUGAAUAAUAGGUUAAAGAGUACAUUUUUAAUCACAAAACGAAUUUUCUGAGACACGAGCAAACAAAUUGCUCUUUGAACGCGAACCUCUUGUAUCUAACGAUGUGGGGGCCGCAGCAAAAGAGCCCACGGAACUGUUUAUCAAAAACACAGGUCUCUGCUAACACGAAAGUGGAUGUAUAGGGGCUGACUCCUGCCCGGUGCCGGAAGGUUAAGGGGAGUGCUUCACGGUGCAAACUGAAGCCCCGGUGAACGGCGGCGGUAACUAUAACCGUCCUAAGGUAGCGAAAUUCCUUGUCAGGUAAGUUCUGACCCGCACGAAUGGAGUAAUCAUGUGGGCACUGUCUCAGCGAAGGACUCGGUGAAAGUGCAUUGGCGGUAAAGAUGCCGUCUGUCCGUACCAGGACGAAAAGACCCCAUGGAGCUUUACUACAGCUUUACAUUGAAUACGGUUUCAACAUGUGUAGCAUAGGUGGGAGAUAUUGAAGCAGAUACGCCAGUAUUUGUGGAGUCACCAAGUGAAAUACCACCCUUGUUGUGAUUGUGUUCUCACGCUGACCGUUAUCCGGUUAGCGGACCGUGUAUGGUGGGUAGUUUAACUGGGGCGGUUGCCUCCUAAAGAGUAGCGG